CCCCUUCCAGGCUCUCCCUUCUGGCUUUGGCAGCCUCAGCUGCAGGACACAAACAAUCUAGGGCUGCUGGGCUGGAGCUGCCGGGGCCAGGAGGAAGGUGGGGAUGGGGGCAUGGCCUGGAGGGGCAGCUCCUGGGGGCACUCACCGUGGAAGGGCUCUGGCAGAGCUGUUCUGUAGCAUCAGUGACACCUGGCAACUGCAUUCGCCAACCCGGUUCCUGAAGAAUUCCAAAGAUCAAUAAAGAUCAAGAGGCCCUCUGGGCAAAGGGCCUGUUCAGUGUGGACUUGAUCACAGGCUGCUGGCCAGCGGGGAAGAUGGAAGUCGCCGGCUUGACUGAGACAUUCACCCCAGCCUUAGAUUUAGGGCAGGACCCUCUCACUGUGUGGUCACCCUUUAUUUUCUCAGCUCUUAUUUAAAAAGAAGAAGAAAAAAAGAAUGUCUGGACAACAGCUAAGGCAGGCAUCCAGAAAUAGGAACACUUUUCUUAGAACACAGCCCAGAUGCAAACAUCAGGAGCAGACACUGCCCAGAUGGCGGCUUUACCCCAGCUGGACUCCUCUGAGGCUUUGGUGGUGGACAGCCCUGUGCCGCAAGCUGGAGUAAGCCGAUUCUCCCCAUGGGGGAAGCAGGCCUGGAAAUGUAGCAGUGUGCCUCAUGGAAAUGUAGCAGUGUGCCUCAUGGAAAUGUAGCAGUGUGCCUCAUGGAAAUGUAGCAGUGUGCCUCAUGGAGCUGACCUUCCCAUGUAACCUAGCAAGCCCUUGAAAAGGAGAGAAAAAAGUAAUGGGGAAAGGUAGCCUCCCUGUGGUAGUUUUAAAAUGUCUGCAAAUUCUUCUCUCCAAGAGGUGGAACUGAAUUUACCUCCCCUUGAGUACGGGCUGUACUUAGUGACUCACUUCUAACAAAGUCGGAAGUGAUGGCGUGUGGCUUCCAAGGGUAGGUCUUAAAAGACACUGCAAGCUCUGACCUGGGCUCCCUCUUCGAUCACUAGCUCUGGGGAAGCCAGCUGCCAUGCUAAAAAAGACACUCAAGCAGCCCCACGGAGAGGUCCACAACGCAAGGAGCUGAGUCCUCCCACCAACAGCCAGUGAGGAGCCGAGGCCUCCCACCUACAACCAGUGAGGAGCUGAGGCCUCCUGCCACAGUCACGGGAGUGAGCCUUGGAAGCAGAUCCUCCAGUGUCCGUCAGGCCUUCAGAAACUGCAGCCCCUGCUGACAUCUUGACUGAAACUUCAAAAUCAUCCAGCUAAGCUGCUUCCAAAUUCCCAGCUGGGAGAUGAUAAAUGUUUCAAGCUGCUAA
rnacentral:lncRNA from 1 species